UUCCUCACGAACCAGAGGACCCCCCUUCCAACGUUUCUCUUUCUGAACCUUUCUCCCCACUCCGUUUCAAAUCCCCACCACACACCUCCACCAGCCGCCUUCUUAGAACUGCAACCAUCGCCAUACCCCUGCUCCUCCGCAAGUCCAGAACCCACCGCGUCCCUCUCCCUCUUCUCAACUUCGCCGCGACAACUACCACCGCCGGCCGCCACCCAAUUUUCCUCUCCUCCUUCUUCUUCCUUUUUCUUCUUCCUUUUUCUUCUCUCUCAGCUCGAACCAGAGCCCACCCUCCUCUUCCUCCUCUUCGCGGUACCUUCCCCUUCGGCUUCAACAUCACAUCGCAACCUUCCCUUCCUCGUCGAUCCUGUCUCAAUCUCUAGUCUCAACCACCUUGUCUAGCCCCUCCCUCUACCCUUUCCGUCACCGUCAGGUCCAGAGACCACAGGGUCUUCUUCUUCGCGCGCCUUCUCACCCCUGACCCUCUCGUUCUUUCUGGGUUGAAGAACAGAGCAAGUACAAGCUCUUGUUCUCUUCGUCUCAAGCGAGUUCCAGCUGCUGCGACAUAUCCCUUGUUUCUCGGCCCUGUGCCGCUUUCCCUCUCUGACGCAGACCUUGGCCGGCCAUGCUGCCACUGUGCCAGCGUCACCACCAGGCCAGCUGAGUUGCUCCAGCCGUUCACUCACCAUCAUCAACCUUCUUCUUCCCUUCCCUUCCUCUGUUCCAAUUCUGCUUCCUGGUUCACGUUUUUCUUUAAUUGAGUUCUGUUUCAGUCACUAGUUUACUGCUAGUUAAUUUUGUUUAGCUUAAUUUAGUUAGAAAUGCAUGUUAGUUGCUUAGGUUGUUAGAGAAUCUGGCGUGGAUAGUGGAUUUAGGUUUGUUUUGAUUUAUAAUGCUGUUUGGAAUGUUGCUUUUUCAUUAAUUUGCCCUAUGCUGAAUUGAUUUGUUCAUGCUGCUGCAUAGUCUUAUUGCUGCUCUACUCUUGCUGAAGGCUGUUAUAAAUUUCAAUUGUGAUUGCUGCUGAGUUCCUGUUUCAAUUUGAACUUCAUUGUUUGAUUCAGUGAUGCUUAAUUGUUUGAACUCAUGCUGCUUGUGAUUGGUUGUUAAAUUCAAAGAACAGAAUGUUGCCCGGUUGUUAAUUAUUGCUUUUUCUUGUUGGUGGCUGGUUUUUGAAACGUACAAUUCCUGGAUAUGACUGUUGCAGUGAUAUUGAUUUUGAUAAAUUUCUGAAUUCGAGUUGUUAUUGCUGCUGGAUUGUUCAUUAUUGCUGUUUUGAGGCUGUAUCUUGGGCCAUUAUUUUCUCAUUGCUGCUGAGUCCCUAUUUCAAAUUGAACUUCAUUCUUGGAUUGAGCUAUGUGUAAUUGUUUGAAUUUUUAUUACUUGUAAUUGAUUGCUGAAUUCAAUGAAAGGAAUGCUGACUGAAUCAAUUACUGUUGUUCCUUACUGCUGUUUGGUGCUGUAUGCUGGGCUAUUGAGUGCUCCUUGGCUGUUUUUUUGGAUUCAUUGCUUAUUUGUUUUGGCUGAAUUGCUCAUGGCUGUUUUACUACUGUAUGUUGGCUCAUUUGCUUACUUCCUAUGGUUACAUAUAUGAUUUUUGUGUUUUUAAUUGUCAAUGAAUUCAUAGGAAGUCUGAAUUGAUUGAUUGAAAUUAGAAAAUAGGCCAAUUUUACUGCUGAAAUGCUGCAGGAUUUUUCCUAACCUUGUUUCAUUAAAUGACAUCAUCUUAUUUGGUGCAACAAGAUUCUAUUUGACGGAUUUCUAUGUCAAAAAGAAUCUUGUUUGCUAAAUGGUUUUGGAAAUUUCCUCAAGAGCUUCCUUACAAGCUUUGGUCAAUUCUUUAACUUCUUUGCUUGUAAAUUGUGUGUUCUCCUUGAGCAUUGAAUAAACCUUAAUUGAGUUUCGAAUUGACCACAAACUUGAAAUUCUUUUAAAGGAAAAGCCUCUUUUGCAUGCUCUCACAAGGUUGAAGAUUUCCUUUUACCUAUGUGACUAAGUUGAUUCCUUUUCUCUUUGCCUAAAUUACUUUCAGUCACAUAGAGCAUAAACUUUUCAAUUCUUGUCUCAACCUUGUGACCUUCAUGCUUCAUUGAAUUUGAUGUUCGAAUGUUCUUUGGCUUACUUGCUUCUCAAUGUUUCUAACUUAGCCAACACCACAUUGCUUCAAAUUAUGCCAAUUUACUUAUGAUUGAUAUUUACUUAAUUAUGUGCUCUACACAUACAUGUGCAUCACUUGUUUUGGCAUUUUGAAUUGUUGAGAAGUAAAUACAAACUUGCUUGUUUUGAAACUUUAGAAACUUUUUGGAAUUAAGGAACUUUUGACUAUGCACCUAACUUUUGAAUUUUUGCUUGGUUUCAUUUCUUUAACUAAUUUUUUUUCCUUCUUUUCACUUGAUUUUCUACCUUUGCUUCCUUUUCAACUAAUUUUUCUUUUUCUUUGCCUAACUUUUAACUUUGCUUGUCUUUUUCAUCUAACUUUUCUUUUCACUUUCAAUUAAUCAUUUUCCUUUUUACUAACAUAACUUUUAACUUUUAACUUUCUUUUUACUUUUCAACUAACAUUAACUUGUAACUUUUAACUAUUUUCUUUCCCUUUGUGCAUAGUAACAAUGCUCCUUCCUUCUUUUAUUCUUUGAUAAACAAGCAAGUUAGCUUUCUCCAUGUCCUGAAUUUGAUUGGAAGUUGUUUGUGUUUGAUUUAAUUUGAUUCUCAUGUAUGCUUCCAUUCAAAUUUUUAUUAUCUGUUCACUUCAUAUGCUGUUUUGUAACUCAGCUCUUUCCUUUUCAGCACCACCAUCACUCUUGUAGCCACUUUUGUAUGGUGACACAGUGACGACUCCUUCCACUCAGCAUGAUCGUGAGCACCAAGGACGGUGCUACAUUUUAAGUGUGGGGAGGUUGUCCAACUUCAGUAGCGCAUUUUGGUGAUUUCAGAUUUUCAAGGCAAGUUUGGGUUGAAGAAGGGAAGAAAGAGCAUCCUAAAGGGGAGAAAUCAUGAAGGAAAUGGAGUUUGAAAGCUACAACAAAGGUGUGUACGCACCAAAUGUCGUGCGUACACACGAUGGGAAUUUUGUGCAACCGUGCAUACGCACGACUGCAUGCACGUGAGGUCAUUAAUUGCAAAUCUCUGGGGCAAUUUUUGGGCCUCCAAAACCCAGUCCAACUCAUUUCUGAAGCUAUUUCAAGCCAAAGGGAA